rnacentral:lncRNA from 1 species
CUAUGCCCUCUGUCUGUAAGUGUAUACAAUUCUGAUUUUUAGGAGUGAGGUCUUUAUCAGCUAUAUUUACGUGGAACCAGCUCUAUUCUCCUGUUUGCUACUACAGAGAUUCACGUGAUACUAAAACGAAGAUAAUCUCUAGAGUUGUUGCAUGUGAGAGCUGGCCAGAGGCAGCCUGAGGAAUCGCUGUGCCCAUGGGCAAGCUGAAGUCUGUGGAUGUUGCUGCUAGUCGCAUGCCAGGGUUAGCAGGAACAACAUAAACUUUUACAAAAUUGUUUUUGGCACACUCUUCAGAAUCCAGCAUGGUGUUGAAAACAGUUUCAUUUGGUGCUGAUUUAGAAGAGAAGAACAUUCCUGCCAUUCAUCCCACACCUCCUUUUCUGAA